rnacentral:rRNA from 1 species
GACGAACGCUGGCGGCGUGCUUAACACAUGCAAGUCGAACGGAAAGGCCCUGCUUUUGUGGGGUGCUCGAGUGGCGAACGGGUGAGUAACACGUGAGUAACCUGCCCUUGACUUUGGGAUAACUUCAGGAAACUGGGGCUAAUACCGGAUAGGAGCUCCUGCUGCAUGGUGGGGGUUGGAAAGUUUCGGCGGUUGGGGAUGGACUCGCGGCUUAUCAGCUUGUUGGUGGGGUAGUGGCUUACCAAGGCUUUGACGGGUAGCCGGCCUGAGUGGGUGACCGGCCACAUUGGGACUGAGAUACGGCCCAGACUCCUACGGGGGGCAGCAGUGGGGAAUAUUGCACAAUGGGCGGAAGCCUGAUGCAGCAACGCCGCGUGCGGGAUGACGGCCUUCGGGUUGUAAACUGCUUUCGCCUGUGACGAAGCGUGAGUGACGGUAAUGGGUAAAGAAGCACCGGCUAACUACGUG